UUUGAAAAUUUGUGGACAUAGGUACAUUAAUGUUUGAAAACGAUCUUGGUUUCAUGCGAUUUGGGAUUAUCUUCUUCUCUUAUUUUGAAAGAGUCAAUCUAUUAAGGUUUCAAAACGAUUUGUGUUUGAAUUGAUUUGGGAAAGUCUUCGUUUGUAGUUAGUGUUUGAAAACGAUUUUUGUUUGUAGUUCAAAGAGGGUUGUGUUGUGUUGUGUUGUUAAGAUUUCGACUCUGUGAUUCAUUACGAUUGGAGUGUUGUGUUCUUCAGAUUGUUUACCCAGAAGUACUAUCUUCUUCUCAUAGAUUAGUAUUACUACUGUGUGCUCUGUGAAUUCUUUAAUGUUGUGAAUUCUUUACGGUUUCAGAUUCUUUUCAGAUUGUUUAUAAGUCAUAUUCUUUAAUGUUGUGAAUGUAUAGGAGAACAAGUUGAUUACUUUUGAUGUCUAAUUUCUAUCUUGUAAAUCUCUUUCAGGUGAAGGAAACAUGGAACAAAAUUAUAUCUAAGGACUCCUAAUUAGAUAUACCAUUGGACAAACAUUUUUUAUUAGAAUUCUUAACUAUUCAAACAAAAAAAAAUUACUAAAAUAAUGCUAAGGACUCCAAUGGUGGUAACACCAUUGGAGAUGCUCUAACUAAAUCAUAAGCGCUUAAGCGCUUGUGUUCUUUUUAGUCAAGUUAGGAUACUUUGUAUUUGUCAUUCCAUGUUCACUAUCGAUCUUUAUAGAAAAAGACAAACAAUGUCUUCGUUUUUAUUGACCUCGUUUUUC
rnacentral:lncRNA from 1 species